GGAUUUUUCAUUUAAUAAUUAAGCAAUUACAUCAGGACUACUAGCUACCAUAUUAGCGUCUCUAUCAUUGUUACUACUGAUAAUAGUAAGGUUGUCAUAGGCAACUAGUUUAGUACAAGUAGAUAGAGAGAUUAGUCUAGUAUAUACAACUCCAUCCUUGUAAGCUUGCAAAAAGGACAUUGAUGUUGCGGAAGUUGCUAACAAAAUAGUGGUAGGAUUAGAUUGACUUGAUUUAGAGCCUCCCUUUGCCAAAGAGCCCACUAGUUGAUUUGUCUAUUGGAAAUUCUGUCAGAUCAUUGGAUUCUCCAAACUCUUCAAUAGCGACCUGUAUGCAAGAACAAUAGCUUGGUAAAUUGCGUGGUCCUAUUGAAAAAGAUCAAUUACCUCUGUGGAAUCCGUUUCUACUUCAAGUGGCACCAAACCUUUUUCAAGAGCAAGUAUAAGGCCUUGCUCCAAAGCAUAAAGUUCUGACAUUGUAUUGGUCAGAGUAGGAAUGCCUUUCAAGAAGCCAAUUGUCCAAUUUUCAUUCGAGUCUCUAAUAACGCCACUAAUACCACCUUUAUCUCCUCGAUUUUACUGCAUGCAUGAGUGUUAGCAACUACUAAUAAUUAUGAUAGACGUACCAAAUGAUAAGAGUUCAUCACCAACUUAAUUAAUAUCCAAGACACUUUAUAAAAGAAUCUAGAAUAUUCAAGAGUUGUCGAAAAUCAAAGAACGAUCUACAGAAUGAUAGAAAAGUCUAGAAAUACUCUAAAAAGAAUAGUUCUAGGAAUAACUAGUUUUAGAAAUAUUCUAGAAGAAGUAGUAGAUAUCUCUCACUAGAUCCUUCCAUCAUCAUCUAUAAAUAGAGGUGGUUAUUUGAGUUGUAUGUAUGCUCAAAUAAGUAUGAUCAAGUACAAGAGUAAGUGAUCAAAUAAAGAGUUGUUGAAGCAAGCAACAGUGUGGUAUGAGAGAGAGCAACAAAGAAAGUUGCUAGGAGUGCGAUUCUAAGACCGCAGGUCGGACUUUACUUUGUAAUAAUAAAAUUUAAAUUGUGAGAAACUGAUUGUGCCUACCAUUAAAUAUCUAAUAAGUGGUAUCAAAGCAUGAUGGAUAAAAAGUGAGAUAGAAUAUCGAAAAUCCCACAAGAUAUUGUUGGAGGUUACAAAUCAUGAGGCACUGAUCAAUAGAGGAUUUUGCAAGUACUCUCGACAGUGUUGAGAAGCUCAACACAAGCAAUUACGGAUCAUGAAAUACGAGAAUGCAAUAUUACUUUCUCGGUCAGGAACUAUGGAAUAUAGUUGGUGGCUCAAACACUACACCAUCAACUUAUGUUGUUGAAGCAACAAAAAUGUGGAAGGUUACAGCUAGAAAAAUCAUGUUUCUUCUCACUAUAAUAGUUGAGGAUGAGUUCCUGCAAUGGAUAAAAAAUGCCAAGACUCCCAAAGAUGCUUGAGACAUGCUGUCGACAAUCUUUAUGAAGAAAAAUUAUGCCAGAUUACAAAGGCUUGAAAAUGAACUUUUGUCGAUCUCAUAGCUGAAUAUGAAGAUCAGUCAAUACUUUUUAAAAGUAAAAUCCUUCUCUGAUGAAAUACCAAAAAUAGAUCCAAAGAAUGUUAUCGCAGAAACAAGGAUGAGGAGAAUCAUUGUUAAUGGUCUAAGACCAUAGUACAAAGACAUAAUUAAAGCCUCACAAAGGUGGACCAUAGAACUAACUCUAUAUAAGUUGAAAAAUCUAUUGGCAAAUGAAGAAGACUUGGAAAAGACAUUUUCAAAACUCUCUAUAAAAGAUGAAGAUAAGCUCACAGCCAAGGGGUGAUCAAAAUAAUCAACCUCAAAUAGGUCAAUGAUAUAAUAAGUAGGCAAAUCAAGGAUUUCACAAAUAAAAAAUGGAGAAAUGCUAUAAUUGUGGAUAAAACGGACACUAUGCCUGAGACUGCUAGUAUAGAAAACUAAAAGUAACGUCACUACUUCUUUCCAAAACAAGAUAGAUGAAGAAGAAGCUUGGUAUUUUGAGACUUCUUAUGUAGUUGAAGAAAGUAAUCAACAAGACGAGCUUGUCACUUCACUUUCUAACGAAGAACAAGAGCUUACACUUGCCAUUGUAUGUGAGAAACUAGUUGAUUAUGAAUGUGAUUGGAUCAUUUAUUCGGAUGCUCCAAUCACAUGAAUAGCAGUGAGAAAAGUUUCAUCAACAUGAGUGAAUACAAAAAUGAGUGAGUAGUUAUGAGUGAAAAAAAAUCAAAAUUUCGAAUAACUCAUAUUGGAAAGACGAUAUUCGUGCCUCAUCACAGCUCGAGACAAGUGGAACUUCAGAAUGUCUACCACGUUUUAGGUAUUAAAAAGAACUUACCAUGUGCAUUACAACUAAGAAAUUCUUAAAACUAUGUCCUAUUCAGACCAGAUGACGUAAAAGUAUAUUGAAAUUUAAAAGUUAUAAGCUUGAUAAUAAUGGAAGGAAGAAGAUAAGAGUCUAUCUAUGUCUUAUCAAUGGAAACAACUUAUGUAGUACUUGAUGAAGCACUAACACAGUGGUACAAAGAAGUUGCCCUACCAAAUUCAACAGAAUUAGAGGAACAAUUACAAUAUAAACUUGAAGAACUAGGAAGUAAAGUAUAACCAGAACAAGAGGUAUGUAAAAAACUUACAUCAUAUACAAAAGAGAUUUCUUAAAAAAAAAGAGCUCAUGGCAAAUUGAAGUAUACGAGGCCUCAGAAGAACUGCAUAAAGUUCUGCAA
rnacentral:lncRNA from 1 species